AUACCCCACCCCUAGCCCUAAAGACCAUUCCCAAACAUUAUUAGACUAAACUUAAUUAAAACAUUUUUCCAAGCCUUAGUAUCGGUGAGAGAAAGGGUAUUAGGCGCAAUAGAGAUAGUACCGUAAGGGAAAGAUGAAAUAAAAAUUUAACUUAAACAAAAGUAUAACACAGCAAAGACAAACCCUUUUACCUUUUGCAUAAUGGUUUAGCAAACCCCUCACACGGCAAAGUGAACUAAAGUCGCACCUCCCGAAACUAGGCGAGCUACUAAUCAGCAACAACACCAGUGCUGACCCGUUCUUCUGUGGCAAAAGAGUGGGAAGACUGAUUAGUGGAAGUGAAAAGCCUAACGAGCCUAGUGAUAGCUGGCUGCUUGGGAACAGAAUGUAAGUUCUACUGUAAACUCUUCUUACUCACCACCAACAAAGGACAAAGAAUAGUUUUCAAGCUAUUUAAUGGAGGUACAGCUCCAUUAACACAGGACUCAACCUCUACCUCAAGGUAAACACACUUGCACCCUAUAUGUAGGCCUUAAAGCAGCCACCAUAAUGAAAGCGUCAAAGCUCGCAACUUUAAAAAUUUCUAUAACAAAGUGAACCUUACAACACAACCAAGCCCUUCUACAACCUUAGAAGAGAUCCUGCUAAAAUAAGUAAUAAGAAAUUGACUUUCUCCCUAGCGCAAGCCUAUAUGCCCCAUGACCCACUAUCGAUGAUUAACAUAGCCCUUACUACCCACCCCUAAAUAAGGCACUUCAAUUGUUAACCCAACACAGGAGCGCAAUAGGAAAGGCUAAACCCUGCAAAAGGAACUCGGCAAACAAGGAUUCCGACUGUUUACCAAAAACACAGCCCCCAGCCUCCCAAGUAUUGGGGGUGAUGCCUGCCCAAUGACCUAAAGUUAAAUGGCCGCGGUAUCUACAACCGCGCGAAGGUAGCGUAAUCACUUGUUCUUUAAAUGGGGACUAGUAUGAAAGGCUAAACGAGAGUCCAUCUGUCUCUUGCAGGCAGCCAAUGAAAUUGAUCUCCCUGUGCAAAAGCAGGGAUUUACACAUCAGACGAGAAGACCCUGUGAAACUUUAAACCCCCUAGGCCACAACAAAUGUAAUCCUUUUCCCCAACCCGGGGCCAACUACCAUUAAAACUAUUGACCUAGUGUUUUCGGUUGGGGCGACCCCAAAAUAAAAAAAACUUUCCUGGAAAACAGUAACAUAACUACUACUAACUAAGACCUACACCCCAAAGUGCUUAAAUGUAAUCAGAUCCGGCAUGCACCGAUCUAUGGACCAAGCUACUCCAGGGAUAACAGCGCAAUCCCCCUCAAGAGCCCCUAUCGACAGGGGGGUUUACGACCUCGAUGUUGGAUCAGGACAUCCUAAUGGUGCAACCGCUAUUAACGGUUCGUGUGUGCAACGAUUAAAGUCCUACGUGAUCUGAGUUGCAGACCGGAGCAAUCCAGGUCGGUUUCUAUCUAUGAAUGUGAACCUUUCUAGUACGAAAGGACCGAAAGAGCAAGGCCUCUACCCCCAAAGCACGCCUUACCCUAAGCCCAAUGCAAUCAACUAAAUUGGCGCCAGGACAACCAAUUUCCUCAAUAUAAGAGCA
rnacentral:rRNA from 1 species